ensembl:snoRNA SNORA70 Small nucleolar RNA SNORA70
CUGAGGCCAGUAAAGCUGAUGGUGCUCCUUUCCUGCUGGGAGCCUGGUGUGCAAUGACUAAACCACAGCCUCCUGGGUAGUGUUUGCAACCUGUUGCUUUCACAGGUUGCUCUAGGGAUCUUGGAAACAGUC